rnacentral:misc_RNA from 1 species
GAUGAAGAACGUAGCGAAAUGCGAUACUUGGUGUGAAUUGCAGAAUCCCGUGAACCAUCGAGUCUUUGAACGCAAGUUGCGCCCGAAGCCAUUAGGCCGAGGGCACGCCUGCCUGGGUGUCACACGUCGUUGCCCCCCCAUCUACUCCUUCGGGAUUGCGGGGGGCGGAUGAUGGCCUCCCGUGCGCCUCGUCGCGCGGUUGGCAUAAAUGCCAAGUCCUCGGCGACGCACGCCACGACAAUCGGUGGUUGCGAAACCUCGGUUGCCCGUCGUGUGCGGUCGUUGCGCAUCGAGGGCUCGAAAAAAUUGCCGGGCUCCGGCUCGGCUUUCAACGCGACCCCAGGUCAGGCGGGGUUACCCGCUGAAUUUAAGCAUAUCAAUAAGCGGAGGA